AUUGAACGCUGGCGGCAUGCCUUACACAUGCAAGUCGAACGGCAGCACGGGAGCAAUCCUGGUGGCGAGUGGCGAACGGGUGAGUAAAGUAUCGGAACGUGCCCAGUCGUGGGGGAUAACGUAGCGAAAGUUACGCUAAUACCGCAUACGAUCUAUGGAUGAAAGCGGGGGAUCGCAAGACCUCGCGCGAUUGGAGCGGCCGAUAUCAGAUUAGGUAGUUGGUGGGGUAAAGGCUCACCAAGCCGACGAUCUGUAGCUGGUCUGAGAGGACGACCAGCCACACUGGGACUGAGACACGGCCCAGACUCCUACGGGAGGCAGCAGUGGGGAACUUUGGACAAUGGGCGCAAGCCUGAUCCAGCCAUGCCGCGUGCAGGAUGAAGGCCUUCGGGUUGUAAACUGCUUUUGUACGGGACGAAAAGGUUUGGCUUAAUACGUUGAACUCAUGACGGUACCGUAAGAAUAAGCACCGGCUAACUACGUGCCAGCAGCCGCGGUAA
rnacentral:rRNA from 1 species